UAAAUUAUUAAAAAUAAUUAUUAUAAGAUUUGUUUGAGUAUUUUAUAAAGAAAAAAUAAUUUUAAUUAUAGUUAAAUAGUAUUGUGAAAGAAAAUUGAAAUAAUUUGAAAAAUUAAUAUUUUAAAAGAAAAUUUAAUUUAUUGUACCUUGUGUAUCAGGGUUUAUCAAAUAAAAAUUAUUUAGUAUAAUUUUCUCGAUUUUAAAAGAGUUAAUAUAUUAUGAAAGUUAAUGUGACAAAAUUAUUUUGUAUAAUAUAUUAGAAAUGAAAUGUUAUUCGUUUUUAAAGGUAUCUAGUUCUUUAAGAAAUAAAUUUAAUUUAGAAAUUUUAUAUUAUUUAAUUAAGUGUAUUAAUUAAAUAAUUGUUUUAUUUUAAUAUUUUGUGGGAUAAGCUAUGAAAUAAAUUAUUAAAAAUUAUUGAAUAAUUUAAUAAAUAUAAGCUUAGAAAUAGCUAUUAUUAGUAAAAGUGUUAUAAUUUAUUUUAUAAUAUUGAUUAUUUAUUAAAUUUUAAUUAUGUAUUAAAGUAUUUAUUUUAAUUAUAAAAAUAAAAAAAUAAUGAUAAAAUUAGUAUAUUAUGAUGUAUAAAUAUAAUUGAUUGAUAAGUUUUUAUAAAGAACUCGGCAAAAAUAAUGUUCGCCUGUUUAACAAAAACAUGUCUUUUUGAAUUUUUUUUAAAGUCUAACCUGCCCACUGAUAAUUUAAAUGGCCGCAGUAUACUAACUGUGCAAAGGUAGCAUAAUCAUUAGUCUUUUAAUUGAAGGCUGGUAUGAAUGGUUGGACGAGAUAUUAACUGUUUCAUGAAAAUUUAUAAUAGAAUUUUAUUUUUUAGUCAAAAAGCUAAAAUAAAAUUAAAAGACGAGAAGACCCUAUAAAUCUUUAUACAUAGAUUAUUAGAAUUUUGUAGAUUUUUUUUAUUAUAAUAAUUAAUUGUAUUUUAUUGGGGUGAUAUUAAAAUUUAAUAAACUUUUAAUUUUAAAAAAUCAUUAAUUUAUGAAUAAUUGAUCCGUUAAUAACGAUUAAAAAAAUAAGUUACUUUAGGGAUAACAGCGUAAUUUUUUUGGAGAGUUCAUAUCGAUAAAAAAGAUUGCGACCUCGAUGUUGGAUUAAGAUAUAAUUUUAGGUGUAGCCGCUUAAAUUUUAAGUCUGUUCGACUUUUAAAUUCUUACAUGAUCUGAGUUCAAACCGGCGUAAGCCAGGUUGGUUUCUAUCUUUAAUAAAUUAAAAUAUUUCAGUACGAAAGGACCUAAUAUUUAAUAAAUUAUUAUUUUUAUAUUGAAUAUAAAUAAUUUAA
rnacentral:rRNA from 1 species